GACAGAGGUGCCAAGCGUUAGGCGGAAUCACUGGGCUUAAAGCGUGUGUAGGCGGAUUUGUAAGUACCUUGUGAAAUCCCAUGCUCAACCAUGGAACUGCUCGGUAUACUGCGAAUCUUGAGCCACUUAGGGGCGACCGGAACAAAUGGUGGAGCGGUGAAAUGCGUAGAUAUCAUUUGGAACGCCAAUGGUGAAAACAGGUCGCUGGGAGUGUGCUGACGCUGAGACACGAAAGCCAGGGGAGCGAACGGG
rnacentral:rRNA from 1 species